AUUGAACGCUGGCGGCAGGCUUAACACAUGCAAGUCGAGCGGGGUGAUGGUGCUUGCACUAUCACUUAGCGGCGGACGGGUGAGUAAUGCUUAGGAAUCUGCCUAUUAGUGGGGGACAACAUCUCGAAAGGGAUGCUAAUACCGCAUACGUCCUACGGGAGAAAGCAGGGGAUCACUUGUGACCUUGCGCUAAUAGAUGAGCCUAAGUCGGAUUAGCUAGGUGGUGGGGUAAAGGCCUACCAAGGCGACGAUCUGUAGCGGGUCUGAGAGGAUGAUCCGCCACAGUGUGACUGAGACACGGCCCAGACUCCUACGGGAGGCAGCAGUGGGGAAUAUUGGACAAUGGGGGGAACCCUGAUCCGGCCGUGCCGCGUGUUUGAAGAAUGCCUUGUGGUUGUAAAGCACUUUAAGCGAGGAGGAGGCUCUUUUGGUUAAUACCCAAGAUGAGUGUACGUUACUCGCAGAAUAAGCACCGGCUAACUCUGUGCCAGCCGCCGCCGUAA
rnacentral:rRNA from 1 species